GACAGAGGGUGCAACCGUUGCUCGGAAUUACUGGGCGUAAAGCGCGUGUAGGCGGGCCGAUAAGUCAGAUGUGAAAUCCCUGAGCUCAACUCAGGAACUGCAUUUGAAACUGCCGGUCUAGAGUGGUGGAGAGGGAAGCGGAAUUCCUGGUGUAGAGGUGAAAUUCGUAGAUAUCAGGAGGAACACCGGUGGCGAAGGCGACUUCCUGGACACCAACUGACGCUGAGACGCGAAAGCGUGGGGAGCAAACAGG
rnacentral:rRNA from 1 species